rnacentral:rRNA from 1 species
GACGAACGCUGGCGGCGCUCCCAACACAUGCAAGUCGAACGAGCGAGAGAGAGCUUGCUUUCUCAAGCGAGUGGCGAACGGGUGAGUAACGCGUGAGGAACCUGCCUCAAAGAGGGGGACAACAGUUGGAAACGACUGCUAAUACCGCAUAAGCCCACAGGUCGGCAUCGACCAGAGGGAAAAGGAGCAAUCCGCUUUGAGAUGGCCUCGCGUCCGAUUAGCUAGUUGGUGAGGUAACGGCCCACCAAGGCGACGAUCGGUAGCCGGACUGAGAGGUUGAACGGCCACAUUGGGACUGAGACACGGCCCAGACUCCUACGGGAGGCAGCAGUGGGGAAUAUUGCACAAUGAGGGAAACCCUGAUGCAGCGACGCCGCGUGGAGGAAAAAGGUCUUCGGAUUGUAAACUCCUGUUGUUGAGGAAGAUAAUGACGGUACUCAACAAGGAAGUGACGGCUAACUACGUGCCAGCAGCCGCGGUAAAACGUAGGUCACAAGCGUUGUCCGGAAUUACUGGGUGUAAAGGGAGCGCAGGCGGGAAGACAAGUUGGAAGUGAAAUCUAUGGGCUCAACCCAUAAACUGCUAUCAAAACUGUUUUUCUUGAGUAGUGCAGAGGUAGGCGGAAUUCCCGGUGUAGCGGUGGAAUGCGUAGAUAUCGGGAGGAACACCAGUGGCGAAGGCGGCCUACUGGGCACCAACUGACGCUGAGGCUCGAAAGUGUGGGUAGCANACAGG